AGGGCCGGAAGGGAGCAGCGGGAGC
rnacentral:SRP_RNA from 12 species